UACAUGGGGUGCAAACGUUGCUCGGAAUUAUUGGGCGUAAAGCGCACGUAGGCGGUUUGUUAAGUCGGAUGUGAAAUCCCUCGGCUCAACUGAGGAAGUGCAUCCGAAACUGGCAGGCUUGAGUACUAAAGAGGGUCGCGGAAUUCCCGGUGUAGAGGUGAAAUUCGUAGAUAUCGGGAGGAACACCUGUGGCGAAGGCGGUGGCCUGGGACGGUACUGACGCUGAGGCGCGAAAGCGUGGGGAGCAAACAGG
rnacentral:rRNA from 1 species